rnacentral:rRNA from 1 species
UUACACAUGCAAGUCGCACGGUCAGCGAAUGGCAGUGGCGGACGGGUGAGUAACGCGUAGGAAUCUAUCCUUGAAUGGGGGACAACCGUGGGAAACUACGGCUAAUACCGCAUGAUGCCUGAGGGCCAAAGACGAAAGUCGUUUGAGGAGGAGCCUGCGUCUGAUUAGGUAGUUGGCGGGGUAAUGGCCACCAAGACGGUGAUCGGUAUCCGGCCUGAGAGGGCGCACGGACACACUGGAACUGAAACACGGUCCAGACUCCUACGGGAGGCAGCAGUGGGGAAUAUUGGACAAUGGGCGCAAGCCUGAUCCAGCAAUGCCGCGUGGGUGAAGAAGGUCUUCGGAUUGUAAAGCCCUUUUGGCGGGGACGAUGAUGACGGUACCCGCAGAAUAAGCUCCGGCUAACUUCGUG